ACGGGAGUGGCGAAAUCCGGUAGACGCACCAGAUUUAGAUUCUGGCACUGCAAAGUAUGCGAGUUCAAAUCUCGCCUCCCGUA
rnacentral:tRNA from 1 species